rnacentral:rRNA from 1 species
GAUGAACGCUGGCGGCGUGCCUAAUACAUGCAAGUCGAGCGAACAGACGAGGAGCUUGCUCCUCUGACGUUAGCGGCGGACGGGUGAGUAACACGUGGAUAACCUACCUAUAAGACUGGGAUAACUUCGGGAAACCGGAGCUAAUACCGGAUAAUAUAUUGAACCGCAUGGUUCACUAGUGACAGACGGUUUUGCUGUCACUUAUAGAUGGAUCCGCGCCGCAUUAGCUAGUUGGUGGGGUAACGGCUUACCAAGGCGACGAUGCGUAGAUGGCCUGAGAGGACGACCAGCAACAAGGGGAGUGAGACACGGCAGAGACUGAUACGGGAGGCAGAAGUGGGGAAGUUUGGAAAAUGGGCGAAAGCCUGAUAAAGAAAUGCAGGGUGUGUGAAGAAGGCCUUCGGGUUGUAAAGCACUGUUGUCCGGAAAGAAAUCCUUGGCCCUAAUACGGUCGGGGGAUGACGGUACCGGAAGAAUAAGCACCGGCUAACUACGUG